CUUUCAGUCAGUAUUAGAGCUGACUUGGCUGUUCUGAAGCUGAUGGAUGACUAUAAAAAUAACAUUUCUUUUAAAUUGUAUUUUGCUGUUUAAAUAUCUUUUUUUCUAUGUUUUUCAUUAAGGACAUGACAAAUCUUCUCUGUGUGGUUUCUGCCUUGUUGCUUAUUGCUCACUUUAAAUUUGUGCUGUACCAAUUGGUGGCUCUCUGGAUUAGGCCAUUAGUACUAGAAAGGGAGGUAAAAAGGUAGAACAACUGAAGCAAGAAAAAGAAAUAUGCAGGUAUCUGAAGCUGGAGAGAGAAUACUUACAGAAAAUCAUGAAAGUGUGUUGUUUUUUACUCUUUUUCAUAGGGCAAUACAUAUUUGUGAUUUUUUUCUAAUUUUGUAUUUUUGUGACUUAUUUUGUUUAGAGGUUAACAUACGAAGAAAGAAUGGCUCGUCGACUACUAGGUGCUGACAGUGCAACUGUCUUUAAUAUUCAGGAGCCAGAAGAGGAAACAGCUAAUCAGGAAUACAAAGUCUCCAGCUGUGAA
rnacentral:sRNA from 1 species